rnacentral:rRNA from 1 species
GAUGAACGCUAGCGGCAGGCUUAAUACAUGCAAGUCGAGGGGCAGCAUGAAUGUAGCAAUACAUUUGAUGGCGACCGGCAAACGGGUGCGGAACACGUACACAACCUUCCUAUAAGUGGGGAAUAGCCCAGAGAAAUUUGGAUUAAUACCCCGUAACAUAAUGAUGUGGCAUCACAUUAUUAUUAUAGCUACGGCGCUUAUUGAUGGGUGUGCGGCUGAUUAGAUAGUUGGCGGGGUAACGGCCCACCAAGUCUAGGAUCAGUAGCUGAUGUGAGAGCAUGAUCAGCCACACGGGCACUGUGACACGGGCCCGACUCCUACAGGAGGCAGCAGUAAGGAAUAUUGGUCAAUGGACGCAAGUCUGAACCAGCCAUGCCGCGUGAAGGAUUAAGGUCCUCUGGAUUGUAAACUUCUUUUAUAAGAGACGAAAAAAGGCUUUUCUAAGUCGUCUGACGGUACCUUAUGAAUAAGCACCGGCUAACUCCGUGCCAGCAGCCGCAGUAACAC